rnacentral:rRNA from 1 species
CCCUUAGAUGUCCGGGGCCGCACGCGCGCUACACUGAAGUAAUCAGCGUGGCUUUCUCCCUGACCCGAAAGGGUUGGGAAACCCGUUGAAUCUCCUUCGUGAUAGGGAUUGGGGCUUGAAAUUGUUCCCCAUGAACGAGGAAUUCCCAGUAAGCGCGAGUCAUAAGCUCGCGUUGAUUACGUCCCUGCCCUUUGUACACACCGCCCGUCGCUACUACCGAUUGAACGGUUUAGUGAGGGCCUCGGAUUGGUCUCGGCCCGCUCUUUACCGGGCGGCGCCGUUGGUCGAGAAGACGCUCGAACUUGAUCGUUUAGAGGAAGUAAAAGUCGUAACA